AUUGAACGCUGGCGGCAUGCCUUACACAUGCAAGUCGAACGGAAACAGGUCUUCGGAUGCUGACGAGUGGCGAACGGGUGAGUAAUACAUCGGAACGUGCCGAGUAGUGGGGGAUAACUACUCGAAAUAGUGGCGAAUACCGUAUGAGAUCUAGGGAUGAAAGCAGGGGAUCGCAAGAACUUGUGCAACUAGAGCGCUCGAUGGCAGAUUUGGUAGGUGGUGGGAGAAAAGCUUUCCAAGACGGCGAUCUGUAGAUGGUCGGAGAGGACGGUCAGCCACACGGGGACUGAGACACGGCCCAGACUCCUACGGGAGGCAGCAGUGGGGAAUUUUGUACAAGGGGCGCAAGCGUGAUCCAGCAAUGCCGCGUGCAGGAUGAAGGCCUUCGGGUUGUAAACUGCUUUUGUACGGAACGAAAAGCCCCGGGUUAAUACCCUGGGGUCAUGACGGUACCGUAAGAAUAAGCACCGGCUAACUACGUGCCAGCAGCCGCGGUAA
rnacentral:rRNA from 1 species